GGAUAACCCCUCAGGAGCCACCAGCAGAAUGAUCUUCCAAGCCUGGAUGGAAGGAUGGGCUCCAGCUGUCCCCCAUGGACCCCCAAGAGACUUUCAGCCCCCUCUGAAGGGCUGUUUGCUGCCAUCAAUCCUGGAGGAGCCCGAGGAGCGACACCGGAGAUUUGUCCUAUUGAUUAACCCGGGAUGGAAGGAAUCAAACACCAGGAGCAGACAAACGCCUGGGAGGAGAACAGGGCAAUUGUCAGGAGCAAACAAGAGCAAAACGAGGAUGAUAUUAUUUUGCCUGAAAUUUGGAGUGGAUCGGACCCCUGCUGCUCCAAGCCCCUGCAAUGAAUGGCUGUAAACA